GACGAACGCUGGCGGCGUGCCUAAUACAUGCAAGUAGAACGCUGAAGGAGGAGCUUGCUUCUCUGGAUGAGUUGCGAACGGGUGAGUAACGCGUAGGUAACCUGCCUGGUAGCGGGGGAUAACUAUUGGAAACGAUAGCUAAUACCGCAUAAUAGUAGAUGUUGCAUGACAUUUGCUUAAAAGGUGCAAUUGCAUCACUACCAGAUGGACCUGCGUUGUAUUAGCUAGUUGGUGGGGUAACGGCUCACCAAGGCGACGAUACAUAGCCGACCUGAGAGGGUGAUCGGCCACACUGGGACUGAGACACGGCCCAGACUCCUACGGGAGGCAGCAGUAGGGAAUCGUCGGCAAUGGACGGAAGUCUGACCGAGCAACGCCGCGUGAGUGAAGAAGGGUUUCGGAUCGUAAAGCUCUGUUGUAAGAGAAGAACGAGUGUGAGAGUGGAAAGUUCACACUGUGACGGUAUCUUACCAGAAAGGGACGGCUAACUACGUG
rnacentral:rRNA from 1 species